CACGGGGGGAGCAAGCGUUGUUCGGAAUCACUGGGCGUAAAGGGCGUGUAGGCGGUCAAGUAAGUGGAAUGUGAAAGCCCCCGGCUUACCCGGGGAUCGGCAUCCCAAACUGCUUGGCUUGAGUACGGGAGAGGAUAGGGGAAUUCCUGGUGUAGCGGUGAAAUGCGUAGAUAUCUGGAGGAACACCGGUGGCGAAGGCGGCAUCCUGGACCGGUAUUGACGCUGAGGCGCGAAAGCCAGGGGAGCAAACGGG
rnacentral:rRNA from 1 species